rnacentral:lncRNA from 1 species
CGGGGUGGCACUUCUUUCUUUGUCGCAUCCUUUCCACCUCUCUUUCCUUGUCCACACACACCACACAUUAGUCUUACUCAAGAUACCAGCAGAAAUACGCACCCUGAGAACAUAGAGAACUGUGGGCUUUUACUGGUGAAGACAAGGAAGGGGGUGAACUGAGACAACUGUCCCAGCUCACAGCCAUGUUACAGGCAGACGACCUAGGGAUGGGGGUUUCAAUCAACAUGGCCCAGGUUGGGAACACAGGCUGAGCCCCUGUGACAAAAAGCAAAAAAGAAAAUAAAUAGUAACUCUGUAUUCAGCUUCUAUCAUAAGCUAAGUUCUAAACUAGUCCCCAUCACAACCCUAGGAUGUCAAUAUUAUCAUUACCCCCAUUAUACAGAGAGGAAGACUGAGGUUCAGAGAGGAGAGUGGCCUUUCCACGAUCUCGCAGCUGUCAUGCAAUGUGGCAAGUGUUUCCUUGUAUAUUUAGCAGAGGCCAGCCUGACACCAAAGCUCCUGAGGCUUGGGAGACCUCACCUGUGUCCAAGACUGGAGCUAUGGCUGCCCUGAGAGAUCUGCUGCAGGACAUGCCUGGAAGCCCUGUUCGGAGCUGGAUGCAGGGAGCCCAGUCCCAGAGAGGAGGAAGUGCAAGGCCUCGCCUCCAGUGCAAGGUUGAAUGCAGGCCGGAGACCAAACAAUGUCCCCACCAUGGGCUCCCCUGUCCUUGCCACACACAUCAGAAGCACCUACAGUGUGUCAGGCCCAAAUGGGGGACACAGAAGUGACCCAGGCCAGAUCCUGCCCUCAAGGUGCAAGGGCAAGUGACAAGAAUAUGCAUCCAAGAUGAGGGGUUUUAUUGAGCACGUACCAUGUGCUAAGCUGUGUAAUAAAUCCUUCUACAUCUCUUACUCAGUGCCAGGAGCAGUUAAGAGUGAUCAGUACCUCUCUCAUCUCCACUUCUCCGCUUUAUAGACAAGGAAACCAGAACACAGAGAGUUUAUGUGACUUCUCCCAGGGCACACAGCAGUAAGUAGC